ensembl:snRNA U6 U6 spliceosomal RNA
AUGUUCAGCCACAUAUGUACUAAAAUUGGAAUGAUACAAAGAAGAUUAGUAUGACCCUUGUGUAGGAUGAUAUGCAAAUUCAUGAAACAAUCCAUAUUGUU